GAUGAACGCUGGCGGUAUGCUUAACACAUGCAAGUCGAGCGGCAGCAUGGUCUAGCUUGCUAGACUGAUGGCGAGUGGCGGACGGGUGAGUAACGCGUAGGAAUAUGCCUUGAAGAGUGGGACAACUUGGGGAAACUCAAGCUAAUACCGCAUGUACUCGAGAGAGUAAAGCUGGGGACCUUUAGGCCUGGCGCUUUAAGAUUAGCCUGCGUCCGAUUAGCUAGUUGGUAGGGUAAAGGCCUACCAAGGCGACGAUCGGUAGCUGGUCUGAGAGGAUGAUCAGCCACACUGGAACUGAGAGACGGUCCAGACUCCUACGGGAGGCAGCAGUGGGGAAUAUUGGACAAUGGGGGGAACCCUGAUCCAGCAAUGCCGCGUGUGUGAAGAAGGCCUGAGGGUUGUAAAGCACCUUCAGUGGGGAGGAGGUUUGGAAGGUUAAGAGCUAUUCAAAUGGACGUUACCCACAGAAGAAGCACCGGCUAACUCCGUGCCAGCCGCCGCAGUAA
rnacentral:rRNA from 1 species